rnacentral:rRNA from 1 species
AUUGAACGCUGGCGGCAGGCCUAACACAUGCAAGUCGAGCGAGGGGCGGACGGGUGAGUAAUGGAUGGGGACUGCCCGAUAGAGGGGGAUAACGACGGGAAACGGUAGCUAAUACCGCAUACUAUCGGAUAACGUAGGUGGGAUUAGCUGGUAGGGUAGGUAAUGGCUCACCUAGGCGACGAUCCCUAGCUGGUCUGAAAGGAUGAUCAGCCACACUGGGACUUAGACACGGCCCAGACUCCUACGGAGGCAGCAGUAGGGAAUAUUGGACAAUGGGCGAAAGCCUGAUGCAGCCAUGCCGCGUGUAUGAAGAAGGCCUUAGGAUUGUAAAGUACUUUCAGUCGAGAGGCGUUACCGACAGAAGAAGCACCGGCUAACUCCGUGCCAGCAGCCGCGGUAAUAC